rnacentral:rRNA from 1 species
GACGAACGCUGGCGGCGUGCUUAACACGUGCAAGUCGAACGGAAAGGCCUGCUUUCCCUUGUGGAUUGCGGGUACUCGAGUGGCGAACGGGUGAGUAACACGUGAGUGAUCUGCCCCCAACUUGGGUAUAAGCCUGGGAAACUGGGUCUAAUUCCCGAUAGGACUGCAGGGUGGUGCCUGUGGUGGAAAACGAUUUUCUAGUGGUUGGGGAUGAGCUCGCGGCCUAUCAGCUUGUUGGUGGGGUAAUGGCCUACCAAGGCGGCGACGGGUAGCCGGCCUGGGAGGGUGGACGGCCACAUUGGGACUGAGAUACGGCCCAGACUCCGACGGGAGGCAGCAGUGGGGAAUAUUGCACAAUGGGCGGAAGCCUGAUGCAGCGACGCCGCGUGGGGGAUGACGGCCUUCGGGUUGUAAACUCCUUUCGACCGCGAGGAAGCCACCUGGUUGGAAGGGUGGUGACGGUAGUGGUAGAAGAAGCACCGGCUAACCACGUG